GUUGAGAGAAGAAUAAAAACAUAGGAAACUACAGUAAGAAAUACAAGAUCUAUACUAUUUUUAAUGUAAACGCAGUUUUGUGAAAGAAGAUGUUUGUAAAAGAGAAUCAAGAAAGAGGAAACAACGUUGCAACCUCCAUAGGUGAACCACACAAUUAUUGUUCCUUUCUUUCCAGUAAUAGAGGACAGAUAAUUGGCCUCUAUUGUUUGUUUUGCAUCUAUUUUAAGAUCUCCAUAUAAGAAGAAAAUGUAGGUGCUGGGCAACCUAAAUGGCCCUACAAGCAUGGAAUAAAUAUAGCAAGUACCAUUGAAAGCUUCCUCUGUAGAAGAGCUACGGGCUUCCCAUUGAUGGUUUCAUUAAAUCCUUACAAUAGCACCAUGAGGUAGGUAUGGUUAUUAUAUUCAGUUUUACACAGUAGGAACAAAAGAUUUAGAAAAGUCAAA
ensembl:lincRNA